GCAUGGGCACCUAGAGGCCAGCAUUGCCGAGGGCUCUUUGCAGGCUGAUACCCAGGAGAAAAGAAGAAGGGCUUAAGGGACCAGGACAUAUGGAAGUAACCAAGCGUGAAAGACCAGGAAAGAGGCUUAUCAGCGAUCCAGAUGCCCUGGUGACACAACACCCUGGUGUGUGACAGGCCGGCAGGAAGAUGCGUGGAAGAGCUCAUGCAUGUGUUCUCCGGGCCUUUCCUGCUACUCGGUGAGGUGGAAACACAGUCAUAGGUCGUGACUCAGGACCAUUACGGGAGUGAUGGAGUUUUACAAGUAUUUAAAGUGUCUCAACGGGACCUCACAUGGCAGAAGUUACUUCAGAAUCCCCCAGUGACCUCACGUGGUCUCUCCUGCCUUGUUUAUUGGCCAGCUCCUGCUUAGCAUCAGCAAUGUCUCCCAGAAUCAGUGGCUUUACAGAUGGGUCAAGUUGACAAACAGCUGAUCAGCACAGCAUCCUCAUUGGACUCUCCUCAGACCUAUGAGACUGUUGCUUGCUUCUUGGAUUCUCUGCACCUCCACCAUAAUUUGGAAAAUGCCUUCAGAAAAGUUCCAAGAAAUUCGAAGUAAGCAUGCAGAGAGAAGCAAGGAAAGAUCGUGUGGUACUGGGCUGGAGAGGUGGCUCACUAAAUGCUAUUUGCUCUUGCAGAGGACCUGAGUCCACUUCCAGAACCCACGUGGUACACCUCAACCAUCCAUAAUUAUACUUUUAGGGCUCUAGCAUCUUUGUCAGGAACAAAACUACACAUG